AUGUCUAUCGUCUCGCAUGACACAGGCGGAAGCACAGUGUCGCUGUCUUGCCCAGUGCUCACGCCAGAGAACUACACGGUCUGAGCGAUCAAGGCGGAGGUGAUCCUCGACGCCUAGGGUCUCCCGGAGGUUGUAUCUCCGGUGGAUGGCACGGUGGUCGAAGAGAAGAAGAACAAGACGGCAAGGGCGCAGCUCUUUGGAGCACUGUCGGAGGAUAUCCUCAUGCAGGUCUCGACGAAGAAGACGGCGAAGGAGGUGUGGGACAGCCUCAACACGAGGUUCAUCGACAACGAUCGUGUCAAGGUAGCUGCUCUCCAUCCUCCGAGGUGAGUUCGACAAGCUGCGCAUGGCGGAGGGGGGCUGCUGGACGACUACGCCAGCAAAAUCAGUGGCAUGGCUGCGAGGUAUGCUGUCCUGGGCUCGACGCUCGGUGACGCCGCCAUGGUGAAGAAUCUGCUCGACAUCGUACCCGGUUGGUUGUACUCUGCGGAGGCUGGGAUCAAGCAGUUCUGCGACGUGGAGACGAUGGCGUUCGAGGAGGCGCUGAGCAGGCUCAAGGCGUUCUACGAACGCUCAUUGCGGUGCACGCAGGCCAGCGGCGAACGGGGCGAUGGAAAGCUUCCUCUCACGGCAGAAUAGUGGGAGGCGCGGCGACGACCAUGA
rnacentral:rRNA from 1 species